rnacentral:rRNA from 1 species
AUUGAACGCUGGCGGCAUGCUUUACACAUGCAAGUCGAACGGUAACAGGCCUUCGGGUGCUGACGAGUGGCGAACGGGUGUGUAAUGCAUCGGAACGUGCCCAGUGGUGGGGGGUAACGCAGCGAAAGCUGUGCUAAUACCGCCUGUGAUCUGAGGAUGAAAGCUGAGGACGCGGCAGCAAUGUUUGGCUUCGCGCCUUUGGAGCUGCCGAUGUCAGAUUAGGUAGUUGGUGGGGUAAAGGCCUACCAAGCCGCCGAUCUGUAGCUGGUCUGAGCGGACAACCAGGCACACUGGAACUGAGACACGGCACAGACACCGACGGGAGGCAGCAGUGGGGAAUUUUGGGGAAUGGGCGCAAGCCUGAUCCAGCAAUGCCGCGUGCGGGAAGAAGGCCUUCGGGUUGUAAACCGAUGUAGGUCGGAGGGAAGAGGCUCUGGCUAAUACCUGGGGCUGAUGACGGUACCGGAAGAAUAAGCACCGGCUAACUACGUG